rnacentral:rRNA from 1 species
AUGGACUCCGUGGCCACCGUCACGGAAGUCGGCACCUUGAUCUCCGACGCAUGCCGCGACGCGGAGAAGCUUCCCGGUGCUCUUAUCUCGUGCGGCGUCGUCCAAGCCGCCGUGGCACUCUGCUUCAUCAUCUUCAAGGCGCCCGGAGGUUUGUUUCUCCACCAUGGCAAAGCACCAUUCGUCUUGUACUACGGCAUCCUCGUCGCCGUGUUCAUCUUCGGGCUCCUCGAGGCGUCGGCCGGCUUCUGGGUGUCAGUCGACCUGGUCGGACGUCGUGCGGCCGGAAAGACGAUCCUGUGGCUGGGCCUUCUGCCCAUCGUCUUCGUGGCAGCCCUUGGAGGCUGUGUCAUUCUGAACAUGAAAUAA